ensembl:lncRNA
GUAUGGCAACCAAAAUCCAAUGUCUUCAAGACGUCAUAAUGGUAACGUCCAAUCAACGUCCAAUUAUAACAUCACUUGACUUUGAUCUUUAGUUUGUUUUUAGGUUGUGAUAUUAACUAACCUAAACCCAACGUCGAGCCAACGUCUCAGGCCAACGUCAGAUUGACAUCAAAUACUGAUGUUUAGUCGUCAGGUAUGGCAACCAAAAUCCAAUGUAUUCAAGACGUCAUAAUGGUAACGUCCAAUCAACGUCAAAUUAUAACGUCAUUUGACUUUGAUCUUUAGUUAGUUUUAGGUUGUGGCAUUAACUAACCAAAAUCCAACGUCGAGCCAACGUCUCAAGCCAACGUCACACUGACAUCAAAUACUGAUGUUUUGUCGUCAGGUAUGGCAACCAAAAUCCAACAUCUUGUAGACGUCAUUAUGGUAACGUCCGAUCAACGUCAAGUUAUAACAUCAUUUGAUGUUGAUCUGUAGUUAGUUUUAGGUUGUGGCAUUAACUAACCAAAAUCCAACAUCAAGACAACGUCUCA